GACGAACCGUGCGAACGUUAUUCGGAAUAACUGGGCUUAAAGGGAGCGUAGGCGGGCUAUCAAGUCUGGGGUGAAAUCCCGCGGCUCAACCGUGGAACUGCCUCAGAUACUGACGGCCUCGAGGGAGAUAGGGGCAUGCGGAACUGUAGGUGGAGCGGUGAAAUGCGUUGAUAUCUACAGGAACUCCGGUGGCGAAAGCGGCGUGCUGGAUCUCUUCUGACGCUGAGGCUCGAAAGCUAGGGGGAGCAAACGGG
rnacentral:rRNA from 1 species